AUUGAACGCUGGCGGCAGGCCUAACACAUGCAAGUCGAACGGUAACAGGAAGCAGCUUGCUGCUUCGCUGACGAGUGGCGGACGGGUGAGUAAUGUCUGGGAAACUGCCUGAUGGAGGGGGAUAACUACUGGAAACGGUAGCUAAUACCGCAUAAUGUCGCAAGACCAAAGAGGGGGACCUUCGGGCCUCUUGCCAUCGGAUGUGCCCAGAUGGGAUUAGCUUGUUGGUGGGGUUACGGCUCACCAAGGCGGCGAUCCCUAGCUGGUCUGAGAGGAUGACCGGCCACACUGGAACUGAGACACCGACAAGAGUACUACGGGAGGGCGCAGUGGGCAACAUUGGGCAACGGGGGGAAGCAUGAUGCAGCCAUGCGGCGUGUAUGAAGACGGCGUUCGGGUUGUAAAGUACUUUCAGCGGGGAGGAAGGGAGUAAAGUUAAUACCUUUGCUCAUUGACGUUACCCGCAGAAGAAGCACCGGCUAACUCCGUG
rnacentral:rRNA from 1 species